rnacentral:rRNA from 1 species
UAAUACGGAGGGUGCAAGCGUUAUCCGGAAUCACUGGGUUUAAAGGGUGCGUAGGCUGCUAGAUAAGUCAGUGGUGAAAGCUGGUCGCUUAACGAUGACAUUGCCAUUGAUACUGUUUAGCUAGAAUUGAGUUGAGGUAACUAGAAUGUAACAUGUAGCGGUGAAAUGCUUAGAUAUGUUAUAGAACACCGAUUGCGAAGGCAGGUUACUGGACUUUGAUUGACGCUGAGGCACGAAAGCGUGGGGAGCGAACAGG